rnacentral:rRNA from 1 species
AACGCUGGCGGCGCGCUUAACACAUGCAAGUCGAGCGAGAACCGGGGCUUCGGCCCCGGGGACAGCGGCGAACGGGUGAGUAACACGUGGGUAAUCUGCCCUCGGUUCCGGGAUAGCCCGGGGAAACCCGGAUUAAUACCGGAUAGCCCCACGAGGCUUCGGGCGCGUGGGACAAGGUAGCAUCGGCCUCUGACCGCGGAGGAGCCCCCGGCGGAUUAGCUUGUUGGCGGGGUAACGGCCCACCAAGGCGACGAUCCGUAGCUGGUCGGAGAGGACGAGCAGCCACACUGGGACUGAGACACGGCCCAGACUCCUACGGGAGGCAGCAGUGGGGAAUCUUGCGCAAUGGGCGAAAGCCUGACGCAGCGACGCCGCGUGAGGGAAGAAGGCCCUAGGGUUGUAAACCUCUUUCAGGUGGGACGAAGCCACUCGGGUGAAUAGCCCAGAGGGUGACGGUACCUCCAGAAGAAGCCCCGGCUAACUACGUGCCAGCCGCCGCGGUAAUAC